ACUUCUACUUCUACUUCCACUUCUACUUCUACUUCUACUUCUUCGACUUCGACUACUUCGCCCUUGAAGUACUUGUGUCUAGGCUAACGGUACUUCUUGUCGAUUAAUUUGGAUAGUUGGCAAAGUGCAAUUGGGGCUCGCAUAGUUAGGUAAAUGCCAAGCGAAGAUGCGCCACGAAAUUGGUGCUUCGAAUAGUUUUGGUUGGCGACGUUGCAACGCAAUUGUUGCCACCUUCCCCAUCAAGGUGUGUGUGUGUGCGUGUGUGUGUACAUAUAUAUAUAUUUUAGGAGUAGUGUGUAUAACGAGUGAUUGUUGGUGAGGGUUGAGUAGGAUACGGGAGGGGCGUGGCGGGGCAAGGUGCGGCUCGGUACACGAGUUCUAACCACGAUGACGCCGCGACGCGCUGUGCGAUUGAGUUGCGACCUGCCUGCCUGCUGCUGCUGCCUGCUGCCUGCUGCUGCUGCCUGCAACAUGCUAUGGAUGGAUGGUGUAUUGGUUGCUUGGAUAGCGUAUUGUAUGUGAGAGUGAGAGAGGGAGUGAUGGUGGGGGCUUUGGCAGGCGGGCAUGUGAUGGUGGAGGGGAGUGGGCAGGGGUGUGGGCAGGGUAGGCUGUGUUCAGUAGUGUAGUUGUUGGCUGACUGGCUGGCUUGGACCUACAACGUAAAAUAAAAAAUCUGCGCGUCGACGUCUACGCAUUGGGAACUCUUAGCUAUGUUGGCAAAAGCGCUGUCGACGCUGACGUCGCUGCUGCUGCGUGCACCCGUGUGUAUGUGUGUGUGUGUGAAGGGUAUGCGUGUGUCUCUCUGUGUUUGUGUGUGUGUGUGUGUGUGUGUGUGUGCACGCGUUUAAAUUGAAAAUGCGGCUAGGCGAGAGAGACGCCCUGCCUAACUCAAACUCAGUGUUUGCCCCACUGUACCCGCUCAUCUAGGAGGUGCCACGCAGCCUGCUGUUUGUGUACCCUGCCCACGCCCAGUCCAGUUGCUGUUGCUGUUGCUGUUGGCGUUUGCCGUUUUCUUUGCUGCCCGCUGCGUUUGCUGACGUCGCCGUCGUUGCUGAAUGCAAAGCGACGUCAGGCAGCCGCAGCCGCCGCAGCAGCAGCAGUAGCAGCAGCAACAGCAGCAGCAGCCAGCACAGGCCGCAGCUGAGCUAGAGGCAGCAACAGCAUCAUUCAGUUUCAGUCGCAAUUCAAACGCCAUCAAAAUCAAAACGUGUCUCACUCAACUAAUUGUUGGCGCAAAGAAAUUGUUCUUCCCCAAUAAUAAUCUCCAUAUGUAUAUGUAUUUAUAUGUAUAUGCACACACAUCCAGUUGCAUACGAAUAUACAUAUAUAGCGCACAGAAAUACAUACGCAUGCACAAAGAAAUACAGACGCCUAUGUAUGUAUAUAUAAUAUACAUGUGCAAUGCAAAAUUGGCAAUUGCAAGCGCAAAGCUAU